UCAGCCGAACAAAACUUGAGUGAAAGCUCUUUCGCUGGCCCACCCUUUAGAAACUUAGCAGAGAUGUAAACGCGUGCCUUUGGCACCCUUUAUUCUAGAAGCCCCCCUAGCAUUCAAAUAAAAGGAGCCACAACACCCUGUAUUUUAAAACCGAAAAUUAACCCAUGUCUUUAUAGCUCUUUCAGAACUUUGCGUGUAGUUUCUGGUUCAAAUCUGUACUGAAAAUGGGCAUGCAGAUGCGUUUUCAGCUCUUUUUCUGGCUCGUGAUGAUCCUUGCUCUGUAUCAAGAACCGAGAGCGUUAGAAGCCAUAACACUGACACUCAACGACCAUCACCGAGGGUAUAACUCGAAGACGUUUGCGGCAUCUCUUGGAAUUGUGUGCAAAUGCUGUGAUGGUUUAAAAGGUGAAUGCAGAAGCACGUGGGACGCUUCCUGCCCCAAGCUCCAAUGCCUUCCAUGGAAACUUAAGUAAUACAUGACUAAUAUUAUGAAGAAUAUCUAUAAUCAUGCUAUAGCUAGCUUAUCUUGCGUCUCAUAUAUAUAUGCUUGUCAUAUGUAUAUACACAAUGGCGUGGUAAUAACGUACACGAGAGUACGUUGGUAAUUUGUAAUACUCAACUGGGUUUCUGGUUUUAUGUCUAGCACUGUGAUUGGCUUGGAAAUAAAAAAACGGCUUGAAUUA